GGACUACUGGGGUUUCUAAUCCUGUUUGCUCCCCACGCUUUCGUGCCUCAGCGUCAGUAUCGGACCAGUAAGCCGCCUUCGCCACUGGUGUUCUUGCGAAUAUCUACGAAUUUCACCUCUACACUCGCAGUUCCACUUACCUCUUCCGAACUCAAGAUUCCCAGUAUUAAAGGCAGUUCUGGAGUUGAGCUCCAGGCUUUCACCUCUAACUUAAGAACCCGCCUACGCACCCUUUACGCCCAGUGAUUCCGAGCAACGCUAGCCCCCUUCGUAUUACCGCGGCGGCUGGCAC
rnacentral:rRNA from 1 species